CAGUCGCCGCGGUAAUACGUAGGUGGCAAGCGUUGUCCGGAAUUAUUGGGCGUAAAGGGCUCGCAGGCGGUUUCUUGAGUCUGAUGUGAAAGCCCCCGGCUCAACCGGGGAGGGUCAUUGGAAACUGGGAAGCUUGAGUGCAGAAGAGGAGAGUGGAAUUCCACGUGUAGCGGUGAAAUGCGUAGAGAUGUGGAGGAACACCAGUGGCGAAGGCGACUCUCUGGUCUGUAACUGACGCUGAGGAGCGAAAGCGUGGGGAGCGAACAGGAUUAGAUACCCCAGUAGUCCCUGUCUCUUAUAC
rnacentral:rRNA from 1 species